rnacentral:rRNA from 1 species
UGAGGAAUCUUCCGCAAUGGGCGAAAGCCUGACGGAGCAACGCCGCGUGAAUGAAGAAGGCCUUCGGGUCGUAAAGUUCUGUCUUUAGGGAAGAAGGCCCUUGAGGUAAAUAAUCUUGAGGGAUGACGGUACCUGAGGAGGAAGCUCCGGCUAACUACGUGCC